ACGGGUGAGUAACGCGUGGAUAAUCUACCUCGUUCUGGGGGAUAACCCAUCGAAAGGUGGGCUAAUACCGCAUAAUCCGGCUUUUUUUAGAAUUGGUCGGCAAAGGUGGCCUCUUGAUCAAAGCUACCGGGAAGAGAUGAGUCCGCGUCCCAUUAGCUAGUUGGUAGGGUAAUGGCCUACCAAGGUGACGAUGGGUAGCUGGUCUGAGAGGACGAUCAGCCACACUGGAACUGGUACACGGUCCAGACUCCUACGGGAGGCAGCAGUGAGGAAUAUUGCGCAAUGGGGGAAACCCUGACGCAGCGAUGCCGCGUGAGUGAAGAAGGCCUUCGGGUCGUAAAGCUCUGUCAAGUGGGAAGAAUAGCGUGGAGACGAAUAAUCUUCACGUAUGACGGUACCACUGAAGGAAGCACCGGCUAACUCCGUGCCAGCAGCCGCGGUAAGACGGAGGGUGCAAGCGUUAUUCGGAUUUAUUGGGCGUAAAGAGCGUGUAGGCGGCCGGUCAAGCCAGAUGUGAAAGCCCAGGGCUUAACCCUGGAAGUGCAUUUGGAACUGGUUGGCUUGAGUUCGGGAGAGGGAAGUG
rnacentral:rRNA from 1 species